rnacentral:rRNA from 1 species
GGUAAGAGGGUGUAGGCGGAUUCGGUUAAGUCCUAUCGUGAAAACCUGGGGGCUCACCCCUGGGCGUGCGAUGUGAUACUGCCGGGCUAGAGGAUGGUAGAGGCCCAGUGGGAAUUACCGGUGUAGCGGUGAAAUGCGCAGAUAUCGGGAGGAACACCAGUAGCGAAGGCGGCUGGCUGGGCCAUACCCUGACGCUGAGACGCGAAAGCGUGGGGAGCGAACAGGAUUAGAUACCUUGGUAGUCCACGCAGUAAACGAUGAACACUAGGUGUUGGUGGAGUAGAAUCCGUCGGCGCCGCAGUUAACGCGUUAAGUGUUCCGCCUGGGGAGUACGGCCGCAAGGCUAAAACUCAAAAGAAUUGACGGGGGCCCGCACAAGCAGCGGAGCAUGUUCUUUAAUUUGAUGCAACGCGAAGAACCUUACCUGGACUUGACAUGGUGCUGCAAGCGCACGGAAACGUGUGACCUUCGAGGGUGCACCACAGAUGCUGCAUGGCUGUCGUCAGCUCGUGUCGUGAGAUGUUGGGUUAAGUCCCGCAACGAGCGCAACCCCUAUAGUGUGUUGCUAACAUUCAGUUGAGGACUCACGCUAGACUGCCGGUGACAAACCGGAGGAAGGUGGGGAUGAGGUCAAGUCAUCAUGGCUCUUACGUCCAGGGCUAGAAACGUGCUACAAUGGCGUACACAAAGGGCAGCGAGACCGCGAGGUGGAGCGAAUCCCAUCAAAGUACGUCUAAGUUCGGAUCGCAGUCUGCAACUCGACUGCGUGAAGGCGGAGUUGCUAGUAAUCGCGGAUCAGAACGCCGCGGUGAAUGCGUUCCCGGGCCUUGUACACACCGCCCGUCACACCAAGAGAGUAAGUAAUGCCCGAAGUGGGCGCAGCUAACCGGCUUGUCCGGGGGCGGCUCACGAAGCUAGGAUUUGCGAUCUCGGUGAUCUUGAAACAACGUAGCC